GACGAACGCUGGCGGCGUGCUUAACACAUGCAAGUCGAACGGAAAGGCCCUGCUUUUGUGGGGUGCUCGAGUGGCGAACGGGUGAGUAACACGUGAGUAACCUGCCCUUGACUUUGGGAUAACUUCAGGAAACUGGGGCUAAUACCGGAUAGGAGCUCCUGCUGCAUGGUGGGGGUUGGAAAGUUUCGGCGGUUGGGGAUGGACUCGCGGCAUAUCAGCUUGUUGGUGGGGUAGUGGCUUACCAAGGCUUUGACGGGUAGCCGGCCUGAGAGGGUGACCGGCCACAUUGGGACGGAGAUACGGCCCAGACUCCUACGGGAGGCAGCAGUGGGGAAUAUGGCACAAGGGGCGGAAGCCUGAUGCAGAAACGCGGCGUGCGGAUGACGGCCUUCGGGUUGUAAACCGCUUUCGCCUGUGACGAAGCGUGAGUGACGGUAAUGGGUAAAGAAGCACCGGCUAACUACGUG
rnacentral:rRNA from 1 species